rnacentral:rRNA from 1 species
UAGGGAAUCUUCGGCAAUGGACGGAAGUCUGACCGAGCAACGCCGCGUGAGUGAAGAAGGUUUUCGGAUCGUAAAGCUCUGUUGUAAGAGAAGAACGAGUGUGAGAGUGGAAAGUUUACACUGUGACGGUAUCUUACCAGAAAGGGACGGCUAACUACGUGCCAGCAGCCGCGGUAAUACGUAGGUCCCGAGCGUUGUCCGGAUUUAUUGGGCGUAAAGCGAGCGCAGGCGGUUAGAUAAGUCUGAAGUUAAAGGCUGUGGCUUAACCAUAGUAGGCUUUGGAAACUGUUUAACUUGAGUGCAAGGGGGGAGAGUGGAAUUCCAUGUGUAGCGGUGAAAUGCGUAGAUAUAUGGAGGAACACCGGUGGCGAAAGCGGCUCUCUGGCUUGUAACUGACGCUGAGGCUCGAAAGCGUGGGGAGCAAACAGGAUUAGAUACCCUGGUAGUCCACGCUGUAAACGAUGAGUGCUAGGUGUUAGACCCUUUCCGGGGUUUAGUGCCGUAGCUAACGCAUUAAGCACUCCGCCUGGGGAGUACGACCGCAAGGUUG